rnacentral:piRNA from 1 species
UACCUGACAUGGUGGAUAGAUGGUAGGCCA